GACGAACGCUGGCGGCGUGCCUAACACAUGCAAGUCGAACGGGACUUAAUGGAAAGCGGCUUCGGCCAAUGGAAGUUAAGUUUAGUGGCGAACGGGUGAGUAACGCGUGAGGAACCUGCCUUCCAGUGGGGACAACAGUUGGAAACGACUGCUAAUACCGCAUAAUAUGUUUUAUCGCAUGAUCCUGACACCAAAGAUUUAUCGCUGAAAGAUGGGCUCGCGUACGAUUAGAUAGUUGGUGAGGUAACGGCUCACCAAGUCGACGAUCGUUAGCCGGACUGAGAGGUUGAACGGCACAUUGGGACUGAGACACGGCCCAGACUCCUAC
rnacentral:rRNA from 1 species